AGCUUUAUAGUCAAAAUUGAUAUAAAAUUGCAAAUUUUAAGGGGUAUAAUUUAUACUAAGGCUU
rnacentral:tRNA from 1 species